UGCAUAUCAAAAGCGGAGGAAAAGAAACCAACAGGGAUUGCCCUAGUAACGGCGAGUGAAGCGGCAACAGCUCAAAUUUGAAAUCUGGCUCUUUUAGAGUCCGAGUUGUAAUUUGCAGAGGGCGCUUUGGCUUUGGCAGCGGUCCAAGUUCCUUGGAACAGGACGUCACAGAGGGUGAGAAUCCCGUACGUGGUCGCUAGCUAUUGCCGUGUAAAGCCCCUUCGACGAGUCGAGUUGUUUGGGAAUGCAGCUCUAAAUGGGAGGUAAAUUUCUUCUAAAGCUAAAUAUUGGCCAGAGACCGAUAGCGCACAAGUAGAGUGAUCGAAAGAUGAAAAGCACUUUGGAAAGAGAGUCAAACAGCACGUGAAAUUGUUGAAAGGGAAGCGCUUGCAGCCAGACUUGCUUGCAGUUGCUCAUCCGGGCUUUUGCCCGGUGCACUCUUCUGCAGGCAGGCCAGCAUCAGUUUGGGCGGUGGGAUAAAGGUCUCUGUCACGUUCCUUCCUUCGGGUUGGCCAUAUAGGGGAGAUGUCAUACCACCAGCCUGGACUGAGGUCCGCGCAUCUGCUAGGAUGCUGGCGUAAUGGCUGUAAGCGGCCCGUCUUGAAACACGGACCA
rnacentral:rRNA from 1 species